rnacentral:rRNA from 1 species
AAGGCAACGAUGCAUAGCCGACCUGAGAGGGUGAUCGGCCACACUGGAACUGAGACACGGUCCAGACUCCUACGGGAGGCAGCAGUAGGGAAUCUUCCGCAAUGGGCGAAAGCCUGACGGAGCAACGCCGCGUGAGUGAUGAAGGUCUUCGGAUCGUAAAACUCUGUUAUUAGGGAAGAACAUAUGUGUAAGUAACUGUGCACAUCUUGACGGUACCUAAUCAGAAAGCCACGGCUAACUACGUGCCAGCAGCCGCGGUAAUAACGUAGGUGGCAAGCGUUAUCCGGAAUUACUUGGGCGUAAAGCGCGCGUAGGCGGUUUUUUAAGUCUGAUGUGAAAGCCCACGGCUCAACCGUGGAGGGUCAUUGGAAACUGGAAAACUUGAGUGCAGAAGAGGAAAGUGGAAUUCCAUGUGUAGCGGUGAAAUGCGCAGAGAUAUGGAGGAACACCAGUGGCGAAGGCGACUUUCUGGUCUGUAACUGACGCUGAUGUGCGAAAGCGUGGGGAUCAAACAGGAUUAG